UGUAAAUUUGUCAUUUAUCCAUUUCCUCUGCUGCCAUUUUUACACAUGGUGACUUGAAUUGGUUUGUAGGGCAUUGUUGCUGGGCUUUUAGUUCAGAACACACUCAAGUAUUUGCUGAAGUUUGGAUAUGUAUCCCCAUACUUGGUUUCAGAUGGUGACCACAUUGACAGAUUAAUAUCUUGCCUGCAUAUGGCUCUUCCAUUUUUUACGAGGGGUGCAUCAAGUAAUAGGUUUCUCAACUAUUUGAACAAGAAUAUUGUACCUGUUUUUGAUAAGGUAAUUAGUACUUUCCACUAAUUAUUUUAUUUGGAGAUUAAAAUAAAUAAUAGAGUUUGUAAUUGUCCUACAUUUUGCGCAUUUGAACUAAACCCAACAUUUAUAAUGUCCCAACUUUGUUUUUGCCAACUUACAUUACUUGAUAAUUGACUUCAAUGUGUUACCUCAUUUGGUAAUGAAAUAUCAUACAGAAGAAUGCAUUAUAAAUCAUAAUGAUAACUAUGUAUUAUUACAACUUAUGAGCAACUCUUCUCAGGCUUUUUGUAGCACAUGACGUAACUUUAAAAAGGGAAAAAUAGCUCUUGUAUUAGUAAGUUUGUUGUAUUAUUAUCUGAAUCUAAAGAAGAUCCAAUCCCAGCAAAAUACUUUUUCUUCAUGACGUGGAACCCCUCCAAGGCAAGGCCACUUUGGGCUGACCCUUGCAGGCUGAACCUCGGAUACCAACAUCCAAUCCCUGCCAAAUACAUUCCUAAGAUAUCUUGUAAUAUUAAUUGAGGCCUGGUUUGGCAUGUCUUAAAUAAGACAAAAAGUCAAAAAGUUACUAAAAAAGUCAAAGUUAUCACUAUUCACAAAAUAUAUAU